GGGAGCCGCAGAAGGCCUCAUUAGCAUCUCAAUUAAAGGCACGCAUCAUAUUGUGACUUCUCGGAGGACAGCACUAGACUCAUUCAUCAUGGUGGCCCCUGUGUCUAAGGUCACUAUUUGUUCACCCACUCCACAGAAGACAACAGAAUUACCAUCUGGGUAUGUGAAUUUCCAUAAUAAAUAAGAAAAGGAAGAGAGAAAAAAGAAUCUAAGGACAAUAUACAUUCAUACCUUUGUGCUGU